rnacentral:rRNA from 1 species
AGGACGAACGCUGGCGGCGUGCUUAACACAUGCAAGUCGAGCGGGAAACUUCGGUUUCCAGCGGCGGACGGGUGAGUAACACGUGGGCAACCUGCCUCACAAUGAGGGAUAGCCCUCCGAAAGGAGGAUUAAUACCUCAUAACACAAGAGAAACGCAUGUUUCUUUUGCCAAAGAAUUUCGUUGUGAGAUGGGCCCGCGGCGCAUUAGCUUGUUGGUUAGGUAACGGCUCACCAAGGCGACGAUGCGUAGCCGACCUGAGAGGGUGAUCGGCCACAUUGGGACUGAGACACGGCCCAGACUCCUACGGGAGGCAGCAGUGGGGAAUAUUGCACAAUGGGGGAAACCCUGAUGCAGCAACGCCGCGUGAGUGAUGACGGUCUUCGGAUUGUAAAACUCUGUCUUUGGGGACGAUAAUGA